rnacentral:rRNA from 1 species
AUUGAACGCUGGCGGCAGGCCUAACACAUGCAAGUCGAGCGGAUGAAGGGAGCUUGCUCCUGGAUUCAGCGGCGGACGGGUGAGUAAUGCCUAGGAAUCUGCCUGGUAGUGGGGGAUAACGUCCGGAAACGGGCGCUAAUACCGCAUACGUCCUGAGGGAGAAAGUGGAGGAUCUUCGGACCUCACGCUAUCAGAUGAGCCUAGGUCGGAUUAGCUAGUUGGUGGGGUAAAGGCCUACCAAGGCGACGAUCCGUAACUGGUCUGAGAGGAUGAUCAGUCACACUGGAACUGAGACACGGUCAAGACUCCUACGGGAGGCAGCAGUGGGGAAUAUUAGACAAUGGGCGAAAGCCUGAUACAGCCAUGCCGCGUGUGUGAAGAAGGUCUUCGGAUUGUAAAGAACUUUAAGUUGGGAGGAAGGGCAGUAAGUUAAUACCUUGCUGUUUUGACGUUACCAACAGAAUAAGCACCGGCUAACUUCGUG